AGGACGAACGCUGGCGGCGUGCUUAACACAUGCAAGUCAAGGGGGCCCAGCAAUGGGCAACCGGCGAACGGGUGCGUAACACGUGAGCAACCUACCGAAAUGUGGGGGAUAGCCGGCCUAACGGCCGAGUAAUACCGCAUACGCUCUCGAUGAGGCAUUUCAUUGAGAGGAAACCUACGGGACAUUUCGAGGGGCUCGCGGCCUAUCAGCUAGUUGGAGAGGUAACGGCUCACCAAGGCAACGACGGGU
rnacentral:rRNA from 1 species